rnacentral:lncRNA from 1 species
AGAGACGAGAGAGGUUAGAUCCAACGGGGAAGUAAGCCACCGGAAUCGGAGGAGGCUUGGACUUCUUCUUGGGGUUGUUCUUCUUCAACUUGGCUUUGCCUUCGACAUGGCCGUCUUUGCUUAAUGAACUGCUCUUGUGCGAGUGACCCUCUCCUUCAGAGCUAAUCACUCUACUAUCGGAAUGAUCGGAGAAGCAACUGAAGAGGCUUAAGAAGAGACUCAUGAUCGACAAGAACGUAAACGGCAAGUAUUAUUCAGAGAGCAGAAGGGGCUGAGAAAUCAGUACUUUGGGCUGGUUCUCUGUGAUAACACCUGAAGCUGUUGUAAUGGCUGGCUUUGCUGAGUUGUUUUGAGAAAAUUUACGAUUCUCUCGCUAUAUAUAGACAUGUCGAUAAAGCUUUAAAGAGAAGCGGCCUCAGCUUCCAAGAAAUGGAGGAGAUUUCAUGUGUCACCAUCAUUACUCGGUCUACUUCCUCCUCCUCAGGUUCCUGGAAAUAUCCAAGAAAAUGGAGGAGAUUUCAUGUGUCGCCAUCAUUUCUCGGUCUACUUCCUCCUCCACAGGUUCUUGGAAAUAUCCAAGAAAAUGGAGGAGAUUUCAUGUGUCGCCAUCAUUUCUCGGUCUACUUCCUCCUCCACAGGUUCUUGGAAAUAUCCAAGAAAAUGGAGGAUUUCAUGUGUCGCCACUAGACAUUCCCCGAGCUCCAGUCAUAUUAAAAUUUGGAGGGCCAACAUUUUCUUGGAGCCUACGUUGGUUAAGAUUCUUUUCUGAACUUCUCCUUUUCAUUUUCUUGACCUAGAGACGCGUCGUUACCUCAUUGGCUUGCUGGUUGAUGUACAUCCAUGGGAGACCAAUUUUAAUUACCACGUGGUGUAUAUCAGUUCUUUGACUCGUAAUGUUCUUGUUUCUAACUUCUUCUUUUUUGCCGAAAGGAAAGGAUUUCAUUGCUAGCCCAUAAAAGGGGCACCAUUUGAUGGAAAGUCUAAACAUAAGAUAGAAAUUAGGGGCUGAGGAGGAAUUACAAGUUAGAAACAACAAUACAUGGUUCUUGUUUCUAACUUGGUAUAUGCUUUUCCUUGUCUAAUCGUGGUUGAGGUACGACCUCACUUCCAGGAACAUGUCGUGUUGUUCCUUGCUUAACGCCACCAAUGAUGUCGGCAGGCAAUUUACUCUAGAGAUUAGGGUUUGAGCAUUGGAUUUAUAUAAAUUAUGUCGUUGGCGUAAAAUAUUUUCUACAAAAGUAGUCCUGAAAUAGAAACCCUUAUCUAAUUAAAAGCAAUAUAUGUGCAUGUCAAUGCUUGAAUUCUGAUUGCGUACACUUGCGAAGUAUAGAGGCUGCCACAUAAUAUUUUUUAUUUUCCACGUAUAUUUUAAAGAGCAGUUAUAGCAUGUUAUAGCGGUGUACAAAAUAUUUAACACAAGUGGUAUACUGCACAAUUGAUUGGAGAGAGUGGGUAGUGUCACGACCUCAUUUUUCGGGUGCCUUCUUAGGCGCGGGCGCGUACGGAGGCUAAUGGCUUGCUAAGUAUUAUUACAAACCUAUCAAUUCUCGACUUAUGAUCCGAAUUUUUAAUCUAUAAGUCAAUUUUAUAAUAUGAAUCACCACUAAUCGAUUUGGGAUGAAUUGAUUAAUAACCUAAGCAAAAUAUUGAGAGAAAUAUUUUAUUCCUCUGCAACCAAAGAAAGUGGGAUUUGGGACUUAAUUACACUAAUUAAUUAACUAAUGUCAUUUCGGUAUCUAAUUUUGUUUAAACAUUUAGAUUUUUUUUUUUUUGCAUUAAAAAGUACUAACAAAAACAUUUUAGGCACCCACUCCGUGGUGGAUGAGAUGGUUUGCGCCUCACCCCUCAACUAGCAGGGAAGGAGUUCAAAACUUCUCGCCCUCAUUGUGCGACUCACCUGCAGCUCGUGAGAGGUGGGUUCCUGCAAGUCGUCCUGAGUUUACGUCACUGGUUGUACGGCGAUUCCCGAAUCAUAAAAAAAAAAAAAAAAACAUUUUAGGCCGUUUCCUCAUUUCAGAAAUUUUAAAGGAUUUUUCGUUCAUUUUUAAGAAAAAAAUGCUCAAAAUUAGUUUUAGGCCUUUCCCUAAAAAAGAGAUUUUUUAAUUAAAAAAAUCUAAAAAAUUAUAAUAUAAAUAUAAUAAACCGACCCGGGUCUCACGCACGCCCCCUCCUCUUUUUCAUUUUAAAUAUUUCUCCCUCUCUCUCCGUCUCUUUUGUCUUUUUCUUGGUCUUUCUGUCUAUUCCUACUCUCCCCUAUGCACACGCAAGAAUAGCAGAAGGCUUGCAGGAAUGGCAGAAGAGAAAAGACCCAUUCCGUUCUCUCCUCCUUUUAUUAUUUUAUUUUCUUUUCACUUUUUCUUCUUCCAAGCCUUUUAACGUCUCCUCUCUAUUGACUUAUAUUUCCCAAAGCAAAUCAAGCUCAAGAAAAGGUUCGUGGAUCUAGUUGAAGGAUUUUUUCAAAUGCGUAGCGAUUGGUUCGAACAGGAGCAGGAUUAAGCGAGGUUGGUAGGAGCAUUCCGUCGAACGGAUAAGUCGCACUAGCUAAGGGUGCAAAAACGAAUCGACCGAGUCCCCACUCGCGCCAGAGUUAACAACAAUCGAUGGACAACCCAACGGCCGCAGCAUACGUAUGAACGGAGUUAAAAAUCAUGCGUGCUAGACAAACGAUGAACCCUACAACAGGGCAAAACAGGGCACUAAAACAGGCGGGUCGAUGGGAGCUCCCUGAUUUAUAUAUGGGCAAUACAAAUGUUACACUUCGUAAAGAAAUAAUAUAACAAUUGAAAAUAAUAAAUGAAGAGAUCGUUAUAUUUCAAGAGUUGUCAAUACCUUGAUUCUAGUGUCUCCAAGAAUCAGCUUGUGAUGUUAAUUGGAUUUUGAUUGAUAUUUCUAGAUUCUUCUUCCUUGCUUGAUAAAUCAGUGCCUUUACAAAGGAGUGUUUUCGGAUUGAAUUAGAAAAUGGAUUAAUAUCAAUUAUAAAAUAUGUGCACUUUUGUCUACACAUGCCAUGUCCAUUACAUGAUCAUAUUUGAGUUGUCCAAACUGAAUAGUGGAGUCAAGUAUGAGUAACUAGAGUAAACUCGAUAGAAUUGGGCUCAAGUUUUCUAGUAAUUGAUUCAAGUAACUCGUAAGCCUAAUUUUGAAGGUCAUGUUGAUAUUUUAGAAAAAUCAAUGUGAUAUUACCUCCACCUUUAAUCAUGCUCUGCACACUCAAGUUUUCAAAUUGAGCUAGAGGGUUCAAGGUUUAUACAAUCACUUCUAAUAUUCAAGUGUAGUCUAAUUUAAGCUCUACCUUAGGUCUGUUCUUUCUGUUUUCUUAUGCAAAAUCUCUUUUUUCUUUUUUGUUUCAAGUUUUGCUUCUUAUUGAUUUCUCUUUUCUUGCUUAACAAUCUCUACAUCGGUAGAGUUAACAAUGGAUGUUGACCGGGUGCCGUUGUUGAUGCAAACAUGCUUUCUGUCAGACAUGAAUAUGAUAAAGAAUUUAUUCCAAAGUCUAGUUUUGCCCUUGACAGCAAGAACACAGACAGAGUUAGGCUAACCUUCUUUUUCUUUUUUCCGGUGGGGUGGAGGGAGAGACCCUAAAGUCUAAGCUCCACAGUGGGUGUUGAUGCAUGUAAGUCGUGUUCUGGUCUUGAUCUUAAUCACUGAGGUAUUGACUUGAAAGAGGAGAACUAAUGAAACAAGCAUAGAGAAAGCAACUUUUUGACUAUUCUUUCACAUACAGGUAAUGAGAUUCCUCAACACAAUACUAUACAUUAGCCUCAUAAAAACGAAAAACAGAAAACAUUUCACUGUUUGAUAUUCAAAUGAAUGAACCAAUACAUAGAUCCUAGAAACCCUCCUGCACAAGCAAGAGAUCAUUAAUGGUCUUCAGUUUUUGGCAGGACUCAGAGACGAGAGAGGUUAGAUCCAAUGGGGAAGUAAGCCAUCGGAAUCGGGGGAGGCUUGGACUUCCUCUUGGAACUGUUCUUCUUCAGUUCGGCUUCACCUCCGACAUGGCCGUCUUUGCUUAUCGAACUGCCCUUGUUCGAGUGAUUCUCCCCUUCGCAGCUAACCACUCUACUACCAGAAUGAUCGGAGAAGCAACCGAUGAGGCUCGAGAAGAGACUCAUGAUUGAGGAUGAGAACAAGAAAACUCUUAAGAACCAGCAACGCUUCAGCUGAUUCUCUUUAAAGAACAAUCGGAGGAAUCGAAGUUGAGAACUUUAUUUUCCGAGUUGUUUGGUGCAAAACCCGAGCUGCUUCUUGAGCUAUAUAUAGACAUAGUGAUGAAGCUUUGGAGAGACUUGGCCGCCUUGGCUUCCAAGAAAAUGGAUGAUUUCAGUAACUCAGUCUUCUUUCUCAGGUCCUAGGAAACAUCUGGGAUGGUUAACCUUCAGCCGCCAACAGACCGAGUGUUUAUCUGCUUCGAGUCACGUUCAGAUGAGGUUACUUUUGACUUUCUCUCGACGAAUAACCUUCUUUUUUUUAUUACUACAUCGGCCUCAAACAAACACGAGGGACAUGUGCGCUGUUUCUCUUUAGCAGCACGUUUGAUCAAGUCAAACAGAGUUGCAGCAUAUUGUGUUUCUCUCUUUGACACGCCAAUUCUUAGAUUUUCUGUUUGUUACAGCUUAAGCAAAAGCCAAAAUAAUAUUAUUUAAAUUUCAAAAAAUUAAGGAAAACUAUAUAUGUUUUUGUGUGUCAAUAUUUGCAUUUUAUGAAAGUUUUGAUGUUUGAAAUUUUAAAAAACUAUAUAUGUUUUCACGAUUCUUUCACUAUAUAAAGACAUGUGGAUGAAGCUUUGGAGAGAUGUGGACUUGGCUUCGAAAAAAUUGGAGGGUUUCAUGUGUGGCUAUCAUUACUCAAUCUUCCUCCUCCUCCGGUCCUUGGAAAUAGUAGGGUUAUAAAUUGUGAUAUUACUAAAAAUAUCCUAAAUCUUUUGUAUAUAUAUCAAUUUAGUCCAAAAUCUUUUGAUAAUUUAUUAAUGAAUUUAGAAUUUUGGCUAGAAAUUACCGACAUGAACACUAACCAUCUUACAUGACAUGAUCAAUACGGACAUGGACAAUUGCAUCACUUUAUAUAAAUUUCUUAAUUUUUUAUAAUUUUUUUAUUUCUUUCCCUUUUUUUUUCCAUUAUGACCGCCAGUAAUUUUCGGCCAAAAUUCAAAAUUACAUUAAAAAAGUCAAAAUAUUUAAGAUUAAAUUAAAAAAAUUAAAAAAAUUAAAACCAAAUUGGCAUCUGUGCUUAACUUUUUCAAAUUAGCUACUCAUCAAUUUGGCCCAACAUUAAACGAAUAAAAGGACCCGGGGUCACUUUUGAUGAGUCGAGACUCGAGAAUGUUUAACUGUACAUUGCACAUGUCAAUCAUUUUAUUAUCUGGGGGGCCACCAUUUCCUUGGAUCCCACGUUUAUUAAGAUUUGAACUUGCCCUUUUCAUUUUCUCGAACAAGAACCAAGCGUCAUCACGCCAUUGGCUUGGUGAUGCACACUGCAUAAUAUAAUAUCCGUGAGAGGCCAUAUUUUAUUACCCCGUGGGGUGCACGUCAGUUCUUGACCCGUAGUGCUUUUGUUUCAAGAUUGGUAUGUGCUUUUCCUUUUCUAAUGGGGGCCAAGGCACGACCCUGCCUCUAGGAACAUGUCGGCUUGCUUCUUGCUUCACGCCUCCAGGCGUGUCUGCAUGCAAUUUGCCUUAUCAGUGUAAAAUCUUUUCUACACAAGCUAGAGCUACUUUUGCGCUUGAUAGCCGGAAAGCAGGCAGAUUUAGACUAUUCCUGUUGUUUUUUUUCCCAAUUGGGUGGCUCCACAAUGCCUGUUCAUGCAUUUAGGAAUAGACUUUAAAGAGAAGAGGACUAAUGAAACAAACAUAGAAAAAGCAACUUUUGACUAAUCUUUUAGAUAAAGAAAUACUUGAACAAAACAAUGGGUAAAUCUACUUUUUCCCUAGAUAGCAAGGACUCAGACAGAUUUAGCCUAACCUUCUUCUGUUUUUUGACAAAUGGGUGGAGGGACUAACCCUAAAGUUUAGGCUCCACAUUGGGUGUUCAUGCAUGUAGGAAUAGACUUGAAAGGGAAGAGCACUAACGAAACGAACACAGAGAAAAAGCAACUUUUGACUAUUCUUUCACAUAAACAUGAUGUGAUACUUGAGCGCAAUACUAUACAUUAACCUCACAAAAGGAAAAAUGAAAAACGUUUCUCGCUGCUUUUAUAUUUAACUCCUAACAAAUUUGUAGGAACAAAUGAAUGAAUUAAUACAUGGAUUCUAUCAUCCCUCCUGCACAAAUGAGAUGAUCGCUAAUGUUUUUCAGAUUUCGGCCGGACUCAGAGACGAGAGAGGUUAGAUCCGAUGGGGAAGUAAGCCAUUGGAAUCGGAGGAGGCUUGGACUUGCUCUUUGAGCUGUUCUUCUUCAACUCAGCCUCGCCUUUGACAUGGCCAUCUUUGCUUAAUGAACUGCUCUUGUGCAAGUGACCCUCUCCUUCGAAGCUAAUCACUCUACCAUCGGAAUGAUCGGAGAAGCAACUGAAGAGGCUUGAGAAGAGACUCAUGAUCAACGAGGUUGUAAAUGGCAAGUAUUAUUCUAAGAGCAGAAGAGGCUGAGAAAUCAGUACUUUUGGCUGGUUCUAUAACACCCGAAGCUGCUGUAAUGGCUGACUUUGCUAAUUGUUUUGAGAAAAUUCGCGGUUCUCUCACUAUUUAUAGACAUAUCGAUAAAGCUUUGAAGAGAAGCGGCCUUAGCUUCCAAGAAACCGUCAUUACUUAGUCUUCUUCCUCCUCCUCAGGUUCUUAAAAAUAUCCAAGAAAAUGGAGGAUUUCAUGUGUCGCCACCAUACAUUCCCCGACCUUCAAUCAUAUUAAAAUUUGGGGGCCCAACGUUUUCUUGGAGCCUACGUUGAUUAGGAUUCUUCUCUGAAUUUUCCCUUUUCAUUUUCUUGACCAAGAGACACGCGUAGUUACGUCAUUGGCUUGGUGACUGCUGUACAUUCCUUGCUUGACACGUCCAAGUAUUUCAGCAGGCAAUUUACUCUAGAUAUUAGGGUUUGCAAAUUGGAUUUAUACAAAUUACGUCGGAGUAAAAUAUUUUCUACAAAGUAGUCAUGAAAUAGAAACCCUUUUCUUAUCAAAAGCAAUAUAUGGGCAUAUUAUUGCCUGAAUUCUGGUUGUGCACACUUGCAAAGUAAAAAUUUCGUUACACAAGUGAGUCUUAGAGACUAACACAUAUAAUUUUAAUUUUCAACAUGUAUAUUUAAGGGCAGUUAUAGCAUAUUAUGGUGGUGUACACAACGUUUAACAUAAGUGGUUUACUACAUCAUUGAUUGGAGAGAGCAGGUAGUUAUAAUUCUCAAAUCAACGAUGGAUAAGUAGUUUGUGUUAAAUUUCCUUUAAACGGGUGAUGUUGCUUUAUUUUUUUCUAAAUUUAUCCCUUAAAUGUGUUAAUAGAAAUUCCAUUUCAAAUGAGAUAAUGUUAUGGGAGGAGGUGGGAUCCAAGUGAUGACACCCAAUUAAGAUUUCAAGGGGUGUCGACAUUUUGGGGUGUAGAGCGGUGUUUCGAGAUUGAAUUAGAACAGGGAUUAACAUCAAUUACACAAUAUGUGUACGCUUUUUCUACACAUUUCACGUCCAUCACAUGAUCAUAUUUGAAUUGUCCAAACUGAAUAGUAGAGUUAAGUACGAGUAACUAGAGUAUACUCAAUAGAGUUUGGGCUCAUGAUUUUAAUAAUUGAUUCAAGUGACUCGUAAGUCUAAUUUUGAAAUCAAAUGUCUAUUUUAGAAAAAUCGAUGUGAUGUUACCUCCAUCUUUUAUCUUGCUCAGCAAACUUACGUUUUCAAAUUGAGCUAGAGGGUUGAAUGUUUAUAUAGCCACUUCUGAUAUUCUAUUGGAGUCUAAUGUACGCUUUACCAUAGUUCUACCUUUUGUCUUCUUUUCGUAAAAUCUUUUUUUUCCUUCAAGUUUUGCUUCUUAUUGAUUUCUCUUUUCUUGCUGAACCAUUUCUACAUCGAUCUACAUCGGUAGAGUUAACAACGGAUGUUGCCCGGCAGCCGUUAGUGAUGCUUUCUGACAGACAUGAAUAUGAUGAAGAGUCUAUUCCAAAGUCUAGUUUUGCCCUUGACAGCAAGAACACAGACAGAUCUAGGCUAACCUUCUUUUUCCUUUUUCCAAUGGGGUGGAGAGAAUGACCCUUAAGUCUAAGCUCCACUGUGGGUGUUCAUGCAUGUAGUCAUGUUCUGGUCUUGAUCUUAAGCACUGAGGAAUUGAGUUAAAAGAGAAGAGGACUAAUGAAACAAGCAUAGAGAAAGCAACUUUUGACUAUUCUUUCACAUACAGAUAAUGUGAUACCUGAACCCAAUAUAGACUCAUAAAAUGGAAGAAAUCAAAAGACAUUCCACCGUUUUAUAUUCAAAUGAAUGAACCAAUACACAGAUCCUAGAAACCCUCCUGCACAAGCAAGGGAUCAUUAAUAGUCUUCAGUUUUUGUCAGGGCUCAGAGACGAGAAAGGUUAGAUCCUAUGGGGAAGUAAGCCAUCGGAAUUGGGGGAGGCUUGGACUUCCUCUUCGAACUGUUCUUAUUCAGCUUGGCUUCACCUCCGACAUGGCUGUCUUUGCUGAUCGAGCUGCUCUUGUUCGAGUGAUCCCCCCCUUCGCAGCUAAUCACUCUACUGCCAGAAUGAUCAGAGAAGCAGCUGAAGAGGCUCGAGAAGAGACUCAUGAUUGAGGAUGAGAACAACAAAGCCGGCAAGGAAAAAAAAAAAGGGCGGAGAAUUCAACACUUCAGCUGAAUCUCUCUCAAAGAACAAUCGUAGGAAUUGGAGUUGAGAACUUCCUUUUCUGAGUUGCUUGGCGCAUGACCCGAGCUUCUUCUUGAGCUAUAUAUAGACAUAUUGAUGAAGCUUUGGAGAGACUUGGCCGCCUUAGCUUCGAAAAUAAUAAAUGAUUUCAGUAACUUAGUCUUCCUUCCUCAGGUUCCUGGAAACGUCUAGGUUGGUUACCCUCAGCCGCCAACAAACCGAGUGUUCGUCAGGUCCGAAUGAGGUUACUUUUGACUUUCUCUCGACGAAUGACCUCCCUUUUUUUUAUUACUACAUCGGCCUGCAACAUUAGUACAGGUGCGCUGUUUCUCUUUAGCAGCAUGUUUGAUCAUGUCAAACAGAGGUGCGGCAUACCAUG